rnacentral:miRNA from 1 species
AGGGUUUCCUUCCGAGCAACGAGGUACAUCCUUGUUGACCGGAAGGAAACCCUUCCAGUCAAAGAGUUCAAUGUACCUCCCUGACCGGAAGGGUUUCCUUCUGGUCAACAAGGUACAUGUACCUCAUUGACCGGAAGGGUUUCCUUCUGGUCAACGAGGUAAAUGUACCUCAUUGACCGGAAGGAAACCCU